UAGGGAAUCUUCCGCAAUGGGCGAAAGCCUGACGGAGCAACGCCGCGUGAGUGAUGAAGGUCUUCGGAUCGUAAAACUCUGUUAUUAGGGAAGAACAAAUGUGUAAGUAACUAUGCACGUCUUGACGGUACCUAAUCAGAAAGCCACGGCUAACUACGUGCCAGCAGCCGCGGUAAUACGUAGGUGGCAAGCGUUAUCCGGAAUUAUUGGGCGUAAAGCGCGCGUAGGCGGUUUUUUAAGUCUGAUGUGAAAGCCCACGGCUCAACCGUGGAGGGUCAUUGGAAACUGGAAAACUUGAGUGCAGAAGAGGAAAGUGGAAUUACAUGUGUAGCGGUGAAAUGCGCAGAGAUAUGGAGGAACACCAGUGGCGAAGGCGACUUUCUGGUCUGUAACUGACGCUGAUGUGCGAAAGCGUGGGGAUCAAACAGG
rnacentral:rRNA from 2 species